rnacentral:rRNA from 1 species
GAUGAACGCUGGCGGCGUGCCUAAUACAUGCCAGUCGAGCGAACAGACGAGGAGCUUGCUCCUCUGACGUUAGCGGCGGACGGGAGAGUAACACGUGGAUAACCUACCUAUAAGACUGGGAUAACUUCGGGAAACCGGAGCUAAUACCGGAUAAUAUACUGAACCGCAUGGUUCAAUAGUGAAAGACGGUUUUGCUGUCACUUAUAGAUGGAUCCGCGCCGCAUUAGCUAGUUGGUAAGGUAACGGCUUACCAAGGCAACGAUGCGUAGCCGACCUGAGAGGGUGAUCGGCCACACUGGAAGUGAGACACGGUCCAGACUCCUACGGGAGGCAGCAGUAGGGAAUCUUCCGCAAUGGACGAGAGCCUGACGGAGCAACGCGGCGUGAGUGAUGAAGGUCUUCGGAUCGUAAAACUCUGUUAUUAGGGAAGAACAAAUGUGUAAGUAACUAUGCACGUCUUGACGGUACCUAAUCAGAAAGCCACGGCUAACUACGUG